rnacentral:ncRNA from 2 species
UAUAUACUUUUUUGGCUGGAUUCAAGGGAAGUGAGGUGAGAAUCCUCCGCUGCCCCGCAGCCGUGUUGGGAACGAAAGCCCAUUAAGCCACUGUCAUGGGUAAUACCAUGAUGGGAAGGCGGGCAAGUAGGUGCAUUAGCCCUAAGCCGGAAGACCUGUCCAGCUGGAGGCUCUUUG